UCCUGCCUGCCCAGUGAAGUUUCACCGGCCGAGGUAUUUUGACCGUGCAAAGGUAGCGUAAUCACUUGUCUUUUAAAUAAAGACCUGUAUGAAUGGCAAAACGAGGGCUUAGCUGUCUCCCAUUUCUAGUCAGUGAAAUUGAUCUGCCCGUGCAGAAGCGGACAUAAAACUACAAGACGAGAAGACCCUUUGGAGCUUAAGACCCCGGACCACCUAUGUUAAUAAACCAGAUUAAUAGGAUUAAACUAAAUAGCUUAUUGGCCCCUGUCUUCGGUUGGGGCGACCGCGGAGGAAAACAAAGCCUCCAUGUGGANUGGGKCUAUCGCCCCAAAAUUAAGAGGGACACCUCUAAAUCGCAAAACAUUUGACCAAAAAGAUCCGGCCCCCCUAGGCCGAUCAACGAACCAAGUUACCCUAGGGAUAACAGCGCAAUCCCCUCCCAGAGUCCCUAUCGACAAGGGGGUUUACGACCUCGAUGUUGGAUCAGGACAUCCUAAUGGUGCAGCCGCUAUUAAGGGUUCGUUUUGU
rnacentral:rRNA from 1 species